UAUCUACACUCGAAGGACUUGAGAUUGACAGGAUGCUCCGAAAUGCACGUCACCUCAGGACGACCACUAAACACGGACCAGUCGACUGUGAGCCCAAGAUUGAUCUUCAGAAAUGCUGCUGGGGCACUCCAUCAUUUCCUCGUUAGCCCCUGGUCCCUGCCCUGGCCUGAAGUCAUCGCUCAGUUAGGCAGCUGCCAGGCCGGCCCUGAGGGUCCCCAGUGUGUUUUCCAGCAUUUCCCCUCAUCUCUCCAGUAAACUAAGUUUAUGCAAAGGACAAAUGUGAGUAGGGUAACACAGCGACAGCGUCCCAACCACCUUCCCCUGAGGGUCACGGGUGUCGUGACCCUGCAGCAGGUGCCACUGAUCUCGUUGCCCAAUCGCUGUCCCAGUUUCCCGGAUUUCCAUCCACACCUGCACUAGGAUGAAGAUUUCCCAUUAAGUGUGACCAGAAUUAUUAUUUAUAGGAAACUGAUUAUUUUGAUUAAUAGGAUUUUAAAAAUGUAAAGCAAUUAAAAUUAAAAUUAAAAUUAUUUUAAAGCUUUAAUUGUAAACACCAAGUUAAUAUUAUUCUGGCCAUAAAUAAGUACCUUUUUCACAUUUCUGUACUUACUAGCUACAUUUCUAAUAUUAAAUGUCUAAUUUAUCCACCUUGUUUUUCAAUGCAGAAGUAAGCUGUUUUCUGGUAAUGAGCGAAACUUUCAAAAUCCACCAUAGGAAAAUAACGAGAAGAAUAGAGGGUUUGCACUUACAUCACCAUUUGGUCAGUUACUCUGAUGUUACUUGGAUGUAAACAACAGCAUGGGGUGCAUGGUAAAUGUACUACUGAGUAUGUUGCUCUGCUAAUUUAUGCUGUCCAAACCAUGGAAAAAACGUGUGGAAGCUGCUAAAUCAUAGCAGGAAAGGGCACAAUAUUUUGACAAACAAAAAUUAAU